GCGUCAUUGGUGUCAACAGUAGCAUGACUGGCUUCCAACCAGUGGGCGUGAGUGCAAAUCUCACAUGACGCUCCU
rnacentral:tRNA from 1 species